CUCAGACCCGACCUUGGACAGGGUGAGCCUCUACCACCAAGUGAGCAACAAGACCAAAGGCAUCAUGCAGCUGGGUCCCUACAGCCUGGACAAGGACAGCCUCUACGUCAACGGUUACAAUGAACAGCCAGUCCUGCCUGCUCCCAGCCAUGCACCAGCGACACCUGCAGCCCUCGACCAUUUCACCAUCAACUUCACCAUCACCAAUCUCCCCUACAAUUCUGACCUAGCCACUCCGGGAUCAGCAAAG